CCUACGGGAGGCAGCAGUGAGGAAUAUUGGUCAAUGGGCGUAAGCCUGAACCAGCCAAGUCGCGUGAGGGAUGAAGGUUCUAUGGAUCGUAAACCUCUUUUAUAAGGGAAUAAAGUGCGGGACGUGUCCCGUUUUGUAUGUACCUUAUGAAUAAGGAUCGGCUAACUCCGUGCCAGCAGCCGCGGUAAUACGGAGGGUGCGAGCGUUAAUCGGAAUUACUGGGCGUAAAGGGCUCGUAGGCGGUAUGUCAAGUCAAGGGUGAAAUCUCCGCGCUCAACGUGGAAACUGCCGUUGAAACUGGCAGACUGGAGUGUGUGGGAGGAUAGUGGAAUGCGAGGUGUAGGAGUGAAAUCCAUAGAUAUCUGGAAGAACAUCGAUGGCGAAGGCAACUAUCUAGCACAUAACUGACGCUGAGGAACGAAAGCGUGGGUAGCAAACAGGAUUAGAUACCCUGGUAGUC
rnacentral:rRNA from 1 species